rnacentral:rRNA from 1 species
GACAGAGGGUGCAAACGUUGUUCGGAAUUACUGGGCGUAAAGCGAGUGUAGGCGGCCCUAUAAGUCAGGUGUGAAAGCCCUGGGCUCAACCCAGGAAGUGCACUUGAAACUGCAGGGCUAGAGUAUCGGAGAGGUUGGUGGAAUUCUCGGUGUAGAGGUGAAAUUCGUAGAUAUCGAGAGGAACACCGGUGGCGAAGGCGGCCAACUGGACGAAUACUGACGCUGAGACUCGAAAGCGUGGGGAGCAAACAGG